UUGACGUUGCGCCCGCGUGACGUUGCACCAGCCCGAGGCGCGCAGUACGCUCACCAGGGGAAGCCGUCCCUGGGUCCCGAGACUCCGGCGGUGACGGGCCGCACAGGCUCCCCGGAAGGGGGGCCGUGGACAGUGACCUGCGCUCGCACACAGGCCUCUUGGCGGCCUCAGCAGCAGUCACAGCGUCCCACGCCCGUCUCUGGGGUCCGCCGUUUCAGCCGCGCCUCGCGCCCGUCUCUGGAGCUCCUUUAAGCAGCGCUCUGAAUCCCCUCUCCUCGCGCACCAGGAGACAAAGAGGGAAGAAAAAGUCUCUUGCCUCUUCGGCAGCUCCAGACUUUUUCCCGGACUCCCUCCCGGCUAGCUGUGGCGCAUUAGUUCCUUCAGGCUGUGUUCACGCCGCCAGCCCCAGUCCUCUCCCUGCGCUCCGACUGAAACCCGAAACCCGAGCCUCAGCUCCCAGCCCCGCCCGCCCCGGCGGGUGAGCAGACAAGCCUCUCGGGCUGGUGAGUGCUGGUCGGCCCCGGUCCUCUGUGCGGGAAUCUCUCUGCUUUGCCCUCCGCUCCCCUGUAGCUGUGCUCUCCUCCGCGGCUCCGAAGCUUUCCCCCUCCGCCACCCGCAGUCUCCGCCCGCGAACGGGCUCCUAGUGCGUGGAAACCUUUCCUCCUUCACGGCUCCCUCCCACUGGUGCAGGUCCCGUCCGUAUCCUUUUGUCUCUGUUUAUUCUUUUUUCUCUUGUCCUACCUAGGUACGUGGGGGAGUUUCUUGCCUUUUGGGAGGUCUGAGGUCUUCUGUUCUGUAGGAGCUGUUGGUGUAAGUCUAUUUAAACGCGAGAGAUUUUAGCUCCCACCUUGGACUUCCAUUCACUUAAUGGAUUAAAUAUUUGGGGAUUUUUGAUUAAUGCUGGCCUCCAGGAAGGUGAUGCUUUUACAGAAAGAACACUUUAGUCGCAUCCGUUUAGCCCUUUCAGGAGUGUGGCAUUUUCUCUCUGCCGUCCGGCCGGGUCUGAUCACGCUCCCUCAUGGCUUCUCAGGGGGAAUGGAAGGUACGCCUGGUUCUUGCGAAGCUCCGAGUCCUCAGUGGAGGCCUGGCUUUUGCUUGACGUAGGUGUUGAGAUUGCGGACGUGUUGGACUUGUUGGAAUAGCCUGUAUACACCUUGGAAUAAUCCUUUCACCUGUGCCAUAGUGUUGUAACAGCCUUCAGUUUGAUAGGGAGUCACAGAUUCAGUGCCUUAGGGAGCUGGACAGGCAGCGGGUCCUGCCCUGGGCUCUGCCUGAGUGAGACCUCAGGACACGGCCAACGCGAGAGCACAUGCCCUGUGUGGAGGGGCCACUGCUGUUGCUUUUUCAAGAGGUUUUUUUGUUUUUGUUUUUGUCUUUUUAACUAUGAAGCCUUCCAGUGUUAAGAUAGCAACUAAUUCAGAUAUUUAAGAAAACAUUUUGAAGACCAAACAGAGUUUAUCUGUGAGUCAGAAUUCACCCAUGACUACCAGUUUGCAACUUCUGCGUUACAGCAGCAAAAGUUGGGAUCUGGAGCAAAAUAACUGCUCGAGUAGGAGUCGGAGAUGAUGGGGGCAGGGAUGGCUUAGUGUGUCUGUCCACGUGCCUGUCUCCCUCGCUCCCUUGGCCCGUGGGAGUUCCCCGUGGCUGGCACUCCCUUCUGCGCGGACUGCGGUGGGCUCCCAGGAAACCGUCCAAGGAGAACCUGUGUGACUCCGUGCCCAAAGGGACCUGCUUCUUUCUGUCAAAUUGGACCAGGAAGAAUUCGGUCUGGGUGUUGUUCUGUGACAAAAAGAGUGGUCCCUGUUCACCCGAAAUUCAUUCUCAGAAAACUGUACCCUGUGAAAGGUCUUUGGUGGGCAGGCCCACAGGAGAGGGGGAGGGCUUUCUAGGUGCGUGAAACUUGUUUUUGACAAAAGAAAAAGAUAACCAAAGUGAGAAAGGCCUAUGGCCUCACGUUUCUUAGCCUCUGACUGUUUCUGGAGCUGUCUCCUGGCUGUGGUCUGCUUGUUUCCAGAAUCCACCUCAUCUAAACGGGACGGGACCCUUGAAGGAAACGCCGAGCAGCUCCAUGUCAAGUCCUAACGGGAAUUCCAACGUCAGUAGGACUGGCCCCGUUAACGCCUCAACAGUUCUAACGGCAGUUCAGAACUGGUCAGUUAACAGGCCCUCAGUUAUUCCAGAACAUCCCAAGAAACAGAACAUCACGAUCAAUGUUCACAACAAGUUACCUGUGCGCCCAGUUCAGUCUCAGCCUGCGCGUCCCAGCAGUUCCCUGGAGAGCCCUAACAAGCCUGCCCUCUCGUCCACCAUCACCACUUCUUCUGCAACACAGUCCACCUCGAGUGCCGCCGUGAUGCCCGCGUCUGGUAAGGUAGCAAAGCAGAUCACCCUGAGGGCGUCCGGCCCUCAGCCUGUGAUGAACAGCAGGUCCAGGCUGAGCUCUGGCGUCCGAAGAGUCCGACGAGGAGGCGAAGGGCCUCGGCAAGGAGAACGGUCUCGGCCCCGCCGACGGCGCACGCGCCCCUGCUCCAGUGGCCCAAGAUGGCGGGGCCUCUCCGCACGAGCUCCGAGAGCCCGUGGCUCUAAACGGUGCUACCGGUACGGACGGCGACCCGGAAGAAAACGGCCUGCCCUCGGGUGCUGCUCCCGGCCAAGGCCAGCCUGCUCUGCACUCAGAAAACCCCUUUUCUAAGGCAAACGGUCUCCCUGGGAAGUUGAUGCCUGCUCCUUUGCCACCUCUCCCAGAAGGCAAAAUCUUAGACACCUUCAAACUCGGCAGCAAAGGGAAAGGCUCCAGAGAUGAGAUGAGUACCCCUGGGACACAGGAGAGGGCCUCCGCAGGACCCCGAGGCUGAGCUGGAGGCUGGCAGCUGCGCUCCCAGUUCCCUUGAGAACCUGGAGCUGAUCACGAGCUGAUCACGGCGGCCGGCCCCACAAGGACCACUACAGAGGCCGGAAGGGCUACGAGCCGGCGGCCUAAGAGAGGGACCGGCACCGCGUCAGCAGUCCCCGGGCGGGCCUGGCCCUCGCGCCCCCUCCGCACCCCGCUGACAAGUACACCCACGACAAGGCCGCACUGGGGGCUGAAGACAGAAGCUGUGACCUCGCCGGUCAGUUUCACGAACACAAAAACGUCAAGUCACGAAAACGGAGGUACGGUGGUGCAGGGGAUAAUGACAGCCAUGUAGAAAAGAAAGCCUGGAGAAGCUUACAAAAGGCUCCUUUAGAGGAGCCUAAAGUGAAGAGGCACAGAAAAUCAAAGAAGAAAAAGAAAUCCAAAGGCAAACACCGAGACCGGGAUUCCAGAACCCACCUCAUCUAAACGGGACGGGACCCUUGAAGGAAACGCCGAGCAGCUCCAUGUCAAGUCCUAACGGGAAUUCCAACGUCAGUAGGACUGGCCCCGUUAACGCCUCAACAGUUCUAACGGCAGUUCAGAACUGGUCAGUUAACAGGCCCUCAGUUAUUCCAGAACAUCCCAAGAAACAGAACAUCACGAUCAGUGUUCACAACAAGUUACCUGUGCGCCCAGUUCAGUCUCAGCCUGCGCGUCCCAGCAGUUCCCUGGAGAGCCCUAACAAGCCUGCCCUCUCGUCCACCAUCACCACUUCUUCUGCAACACAGUCCACCUCGAGUGCCGCCAUGAUGCCCGCGUCUGGUAAGGUAGCAAAGCAGAUCACCCUGAGGGCGUCCGGCCCUCAGCCUGUGAUGAACAGCAGGUCCAGGCUGAGCUCUGGCGUCCGAAGAGUCCGACGAGGAGGCGAAGGGCCUCGGCAAGGAGAACGGUCUCGGCCCCGCCGACGGCGCACGCGCCCCUGCUCCAGUGGCCCAAGAUGGCGGGGCCUCUCCGCACGAGCUCCGAGAGCCCGUGGCUCUAAACGGUGCUACCGGUACGGACGGCGACCCGGAAGAAAACGGCCUGCCCUCGGGUGCUGCUCCCGGCCAAGGCCAGCCUGCUCUGCACUCAGAAAACCCCUUUUCUAAGGCAAACGGUCUCCCUGGGAAGUUGAUGCCUGCUCCUUUGCCACCUCUCCCAGAAGGCAAAAUCUUAGACACCUUCAAACUCGGCAGCAAAGGGAAAGGCUCCAGAGAUGAGAUGAGUACCCCUGGGACACAGGAGAGGGCCUCCGCAGGACCCCGAGGCUGAGCUGGAGGCUGGCAGCUGCGCUCCCGGUUCCCUUGAGAACCUGGAGCUGAUCACGAGCUGAUCACGGCGGCCGGCCCCACAAGGACCACUACAGAGGCCGGAAGGGCUACGAGCUGGCGGCCUAAGAGAGGGACCGGCACCGCGUCAGCAGUCCCCGGGCGGGCCUGGCCCUCGAGCCCCCUCCGCACCCCGCUGACAAGUACACCAACGACAAGGCCGCACUGGGGGCUGAGGACAGAAGCUGUGACCUCGCCGGUCAGUUUCACAAACACAAAAACGUCAAGUCACGAAAACGGAGGUACGGUGGUGCAGGGGAUAAUGACAGCCAUGUAGAAAAGAAAGCCUGGAGAAGCUUACAAAAGGCUCCUUUACAGGAGCCUAAAGUGAAGAGGCACAGAAAAUCAAAGAAGAAAAAGAAAUCCAAAGGCAAACACCGAGACCGGGAUUCCAGAACCCACCUCAUCUAAACGGGACGGGACCCUUGAAGGAAACGCCGAGCAGCUCCAUGUCAAGUCCUAACUGGAAUUCCAACGUCAGUAGGACUGGCCCCGUUAACGCCUCAACAGUUCUAACGGCAGUUCAGAACUGGUCGGUUAACAGGCCCUCAGUUAUUCCAGAACAUCCGAAGAAACAGAACAUCACGAUCAGUGUUCACGACAAGUUACCUGUGCGCCCAGUUCAGUCUCAGCCUGCGCGUCCCAGCAGUUCCCUGGAGAGCCCUAACAAGCCUGCCCUCUCGUCCACCAUCACCACUUCUUCUGCAACACAGUCCACCUCGAGUGCCGCCGUGAUGCCCGCGUCUGGUAAGGUAGCAAAGCAGAUCACCCUGAGGGCGUCCGGCCCUCAGCCUGUGAUGAACAGCAGGUCCAGGCUGAGCUCCGGCGUCCGAAGAGUCCGAUGAGGAGGCGAAGGGCCUCGGCAAGGAGAACGGUCUCGGCCCCGCCGACGGCGCACGCGCCCCUGCUCCGGUGGACCAAGAUGGCGGGGCCUCUCAGCACGAGCUCCGAGAGCCCGUGGCUCUAAACGGUGCUACCGGUACGGACGGCGACCCGGAAGACAACGGCCUGCCCUCGGGUGCUGCUCCCGGCCAAGGCCAGCCUGCUCUGCACUCAGAAAACCCCUUUUCUAAGGCAAACGGUCUCCCUGGGAAGUUGAUGCCUGCUCCUUUGCCACCUCUCCCAGAAGACAAAAUCUUAGACACCUUCAAACUCGGCAGCAAAGGGAAAGGCUCCAGAGAUGAGAUGAGUACCCCUGGGACACAGGAGAGGCCUCCGCAGGACCCCGAGGCUGAGCUGGAGGCCGGCAUCUGCGCUCCCGGUUCCCUUGAGAACCUGGAGCUGAUCACGAGCUGAUCACGGCGGCCGGCCCCACAAGGACCACUACAGAGGCCGGAAGGGCUACGAGCCGGCGGCCUAAGAGAGGGACCGGCACCGCGUCAGCAGUCCCCGGGCGGGCCUGGCCCUCGCGCCCCCUCCGCACCCCGCUGACAAGUACACCCACGACAAGGCCGCACUGGGGGCUGAAGACAGAAGCUGUGACCUCGCCGGUCAGUUUCACGAACACAAAAACGUCAAGUCACGAAAACGGAGGUACGGUGGUGCAGGGGAUAAUGACAGCCAUGUAGAAAAGAAAGCCUGGAGAAGCUUACAAAAGGCUCCUUUAUAGGAGCCUAAAGUGAAGAGGCACAGAAAAUCAAAGAAGAAAAAGAAAUCCAAAGGCAAACACCGAGACCGGGAUUCCAGGCAUCAGCAGGACUCAGACCUUUCGGUAACGCAGUCUGAUGGUGACCUCCACAGACACAAGAAGAAAAAGAAGAGGCACUCAAGGAAAUCAGAGGACUCGGUUAGAGAUUCAGAGCCACACUUGCCCAAGGCCGCCAGCUGUGAGACUGUGGACCAUUUCCAGAGAGCGGUCAGAGCUUUCCCCCUCCCAGCCAGCCAGCCUCUGGACGGUGUGGGACCUUGCCGGGAGAAAACAAAACAUUUCUGGAUGGAAGCCAGGGCUGACAAGUGUCAUCUGAGUGUGGCCAGGGUAAGAGGACAUACUUGGAACUGCGAAUAUAGAAACUCUUUUCUUUGGAAAGGGUGGUUAACACAGGGAAGGAGGCUCAAAGGGCGUAGAAGGUGUUAGUCCCCUCUGAGCUCCCCGCCCUGUGUCCUCUGCCCGACGGCUGGCCCGAGGCUGUUGUGGCCGGUCUCGAUGGUUUGCUGCCGCGGCCCUUACUGGAGACCUGAGUCACGCGGAACCGGGAACCUCUGGAAUUGAUGGCUCUGAGUGUGUGACUGUGGACCAGAACUUCUGUUUUUGAGCCAUUUUUGAUAGAAAUGUGGUACAUUCUUUCUCUCCAGAAUCCUUAAGCCUUUGGCAUUGUGAGUAGAACCUAGAACUCAGUUUGGUGACUGGCUCGCUGGACGUCACGCUUCAGGCCUGGGUUGGUGAAGCUCAGGCUCCUGACGGGGUUCCCUGGGUCACUGCAGGCCUCUGGGCUCUGGGAUUCUUGUCUGCUUUGCACAGUUCUGCCUUCCCUUGUAACUUCCCAGCCUUUUCUACUCAGAUUGCUCUGAAAGCAGAGCCCCCCUUGCUUCCUCAUCUGUUCCGAUGACCUUCGACCCUGGAAGGAGUGCUGAGCGUUUUUGAGGGGGCCGGGGGCCUAGGACAGGGCUGGACUGGCCGCCGCCUUUGCGCGGCCUGACGGUAAGGAAGGAUUUGACGUUUUUCAACGGUUGGAAGAGUCAAGAGGAGAAUAUUUCAUUUCACGUGAAAAUCGUGUGGAAUUGAGGUGGCAGUAGAGCCGCAAGGAACCCAGCCCAGCCCGCCCGUCUGCCCGUCCACGGGGACAGGUGUGCUGGCCUCGCCCUGGACCCCUGAGGCGCACCCUCGCGACCCUGCCCGCUGUCCUAGAUGCCCAGGGGCCACGGGGUUCUCGACUGCAUCCUGGACCCAGGUGAUUGAAAACGUGGCCUCAGAACAAAAAAUUCACUAGUUACGGUAAGCUCUUUUCGUCUCGGUAUGUUCUUCCUAUUUGUUUGUAGAGCCGCUGAGGGGCCCUGAGGAGGGAGCUUUGGGCCUCGGCUUCGGCUUCGGGGGUAGCAGGUG